rnacentral:rRNA from 1 species
AUGAUUGGAAUUGGCGUUAGUGGCCACUUGAUGAGAUGCUCAACAAUAUUUAUUUUUUUCAGAAAGAAUUUUAUGUACCACAUACAAAUCAACCUCCAUGCCAUAUCUAGAGCUUCUAAAUCAACAACUACGGUUACUAACAAAAAUCUGGAGAUUUGCAACCAUUCUAUGCGCCCCGGUUGUCACAGCCAUUCAAUUGUCUUGAAAUUGCGCCAUUCAAUGUACUCCCUCCGUCCGGAAAUACUUGUCAGAGGAACGGAUGUAUCUAGAUGUAUUUUAGUUCUAGAUACAUCCAUUUUUAUGCAUUUCUUCGACAAGUAUUUCCGGACGGAGGGAGUAUAUGGUGUUCUUUAA